rnacentral:rRNA from 1 species
UACGAAGGGGGCUAGCGUUGUUCGGAAUUACUGGGCGUAAAGCGUGCGCAGGCGGCUUCUCAAGUCAGGGGUGAAAGCCCAGAGCUCAACUCUGGAAUUGCCUUUGAGACUGAGAGGCUUGAGUACGGGAGAGGUGAGUGGAAUUCCCAGUGAUAGAGGUGAAAUUCGUAGAUAUUGGGAAGAACACCAGUGGCGAAGGCGGCUCACUGGACCGGUAACUGACGCUCAUGCACGACAGCGUGGGGAUCAAACAGG